rnacentral:lncRNA from 1 species
CCUCUGCUGCAUAAUAGUGUCCCUGUGAAGUGGGCCACGCCACCGAGUCCACAGCAAGCGCAGAGGCCGGCCGCACGCGGCAGUGCCAACAACGGAAUUAGCAGGACGGCACGGGCACCUUGCACGCGGCCAUGGCCUUCUUGCCGUUGGGCGAGCUGACGUAGCGCUGCAGGUUUGGGUCGCGCGCGUACGUGCACAUGCACGGCUGCUGCUCCCUCAUCUUGCUGCAGCACGCCGCGGUGGGCGGCGAGUUCCCGAUGAUGGCGCCCGCGCACGGGGUCAGCUGCGUCGCGUCGCACGUCGCCGCCUCCGCGCCCCGCGGCGCCGCCGCCGCGCACAGCAGCAGGACCGCGAGGGCCGCGAACAGGAGCUGAGCCGGCUUCAUGGCUAGUGUAGUGUGUGCUACGAGGUCUGGUAGGAUCUUGAAUUUUGGAUGGUGCGA